rnacentral:rRNA from 1 species
UACGUAGGGUGCAGGCGUUAAUCGGAAUUACUGGGCGUAAAGCGUGCGCAGGCGGUUUGCUAAGACAGGUGUGAAAUCCCCGGGCUUAACCUGGGAACUGCGCUUGUAACUGGCAAGCUAGAGUGUGGCAGAGGGGGGUGGAAUUCCACGUGUAGCAGUGAAAUGCGUAGAGGUGUGGAGGAACACCGAUGGCGAAGGCAGCCCCCUGGGCUAGCACUGACGCUCAGGCACGAAAGCGUGGGGAGCAAACAGG